ACGGGGGGGGCAAGCGUUGUUCGGAAUUACUGGGCGUAAAGGGCGCGUAGGCGGCUGAGCAGGUCCGGUGUGAAAUCCCUCGGCUCAACUGAGGAAUUGCGCUGGAAACCGCUUGGCUCGAGUACAGGAGAGGAGGGCGGAAUUCCCGGUGUAGCGGUGAAAUGCGUAGAUAUCGGGAAGAACACCGGUGGCGAAGGCGGCUCUCUGGACUGUAACUGACGCUGAGGCGCGAAAGCGUGGGGAGCGAACGG
rnacentral:rRNA from 1 species